UUAAGGUAGAAGAUCUCAAAUCAAAUCAUUAGCUUCGGUGAACAAGAUAAGAUCAAAUUGCUCCUCUUUCAGGAUUCCGUGUGGGGACUUUCCCAAAGCUCCUUCUGUACGUAGUGAUUCUAUACAUCAUUCUUAUGGUUCUUUACAUUAUCGUAGUUAUUCGAAAACAAAGGUACUUUAUGAGAAAUGGUUUAAGAUCUUAUCAGAGUGUAUAGGAUAUGUUUGUCCGAAGGAGAAGGAAAUUAUGGCAUAAGAAGGGUGGUGCUAUUGGCACAGACAUUGAAAUGGCCGCGGUGGAACCAGACGCAUCUGAAGCUGAACGCUUGAUCAAUCCCCCACUCUCUCAAUAUGUGGGUAUACUCAUAUGAGUUUCAAUUUGCAUUCAACUACUCUCAACUAUGUUUUUGACAUGGAUAUCCUUGUUAGAUAAAAUAGCAACUUCAAAAUAUAGUAGAGAGGUAAGAAAUCAUUGAAGCCUAAAAAGAGUAGGCUAAGAAAGAUAAUAGCUAAAAAAGUGAUGGUUGUGAGAUUAUCAAGGUGGUGAGAGUUCCCAAAAGGAAAAGAAUGGUAAACCUUUGAAAAAUAAGAAAGAUGACUCUAUCCCAUGUUGCUAAGAUGCCUAGACCUUUGAAGCCCUAAAAGAGCUUAUAAGCCUAACAAUAAGGCUCUUAAAAGAUAUCAUAAGGGAUUUAGAGACUUUUCUCUAGACUAAAGAUGAGCUAAAGUAUCCUCUAUUGUUAGGAAAAUGAGAUCCAGCCUUAUGUAAUUGAUUUUAGACCAAUCAAAGGUCAUGGGCCUUGAUCUUUUUUUUAUACAGAGCCCUAACUACUUAAUAAAAAGAGGUAGGACUAUUUUAAGAUGAUGUCACAAACCAAGAAAAGAAAGAAGAAAAGCUAGAAAGAUAGAGAGAAAAAGAAAAAGGGAAAGUUGUUUAAAUGAAAGUCAAUCUGUGAUCUGAUUAAGCUAAAAUUUUAUCAGCAAGUUUAUGAUUUAAAAUUUUACAUUUUGGAUGGUGAAGAUUAGGUUUGAAGCUCUCUAGGAACAAAUUCAGUAUGUAUUUGUUGAGUUACCUAUUUGGUGAGAUUUCUCUAAUUGUCUCUCUUUAGUUGUUGAUUAGCUCUAGUUUUAGCUAGAGAAGAACUUUGUAUAUCCAUUAUUUGAUAGUAGAAAUUUUUUUGUGGUUCAUGGUUUUUCCUUCUACACUAGAGGGUUUUUCACAUAAAUCUUAGUACGUUUUAUUUUUUUCUAUGUUGUUUCCUAAAUUCAAUUGGAUUAAGGGAUCCUAAUGAUAUUAGAACUUCUACAUACAUUCAAUUAUCCUAUUUACAAGAAGACUCUUACAUGCAAUUGGAGAUUGAAGAUUUAUAUUUGAAGAAUGACUUCUUAUUGUAUUCAGUCAAUGAGAAAUUUUACAAGACAAUAGCUCUUUGAUCAAUCUUGAAAGAGUUUUCAUGCAAAUCAAACACAACAUAAGAGUGAAGGCUAAAAAGUUUAGAUAAAAAAUGGACUCUUGAAAGAUUUAUCUCAAGAGUUUAAAUAUGAAACAACUACAUGUCUUGAUAACUAUGCUUAGUCGAACCACCCAUCAAAAUUGCAAGAUUAAGAGUACAUACCACAUGGAUGAUCAAGAUUCAACCUAAGAUUUCCUGUUUGGCCAAAGCACUCCAAGAAUGAAGAAAUUACAUUUGGCUAUGACUCUACCACAGAUAAAACUAAUCUCUUAGAAUUCAAAAUAACUAAGACUUUGUAACCUUAAUCCCUAUCCUAGCUGAACCCACCAUUAUAAAUAGGGAGGCUCUCUUGUAACUCAAACAUCACACACAUCUCAUCUUCCUUUCUCCCUUUUAUUCUCUUUAGUUUUAGUUAUAUUAGUUUCUUUUAAGUUUUCUUUGUAGUUUGGUUAAGGUGACACAUUAGCUAAUACUAAAUUAUUUUCUAAAUUGUUUUCUUAAUUUAAAGCAUUCUUCUAGUUUCAAGAUCUAUUUCUUUAAAGCUUUCUUGCAUACUUUCGAUUUUCAUAACCUUGUUCUUAGCUACAGUUAUUCAAGUUUCUUUAAGUACUAUUUCCACCAAUUUAAAGCAUUUGGUUUACGUUCAAGCAAUCUUUCUUUCAUUAUAAGUUUCAUUUUUAUGCAAUCUUGAUUCAAUUUUUUCUUUUAUGCAAGCUUUCAUACUUUCGGCCAAACACUUAAUCAUUUUUUUCUUUCUAAGUUUUUUGUUCUUUAGUUCUUUAGAUCCAUUCAGCCACAUCUAAGAAUCCAAGUGAUAGUUGGAUAAGUAGAUCUUGACCUACAAAAUUGAUUUCUUUUAUUGUUUUCUUUGCAAACAAAUCAAAUUUUUCAUUAGUUUAGAUAUAAGUCUUGUAGUUGAUCACCUUUAGUACGUGAUUUUCUUCCAACAAUUCAAUUAUAUAAUCCUCAUGGGAAUGAUACACUACUCGCUCACUCUAUUAUUUGAUUACAAUCUAUGCACUUAUAAGCAUUAUAAAAAGUAGCAAUCAUUAAACACUGGUCAAGGGAAAAUGUUGAUUUUUAUAGCCAUUAAGCUUUUGAUUAAAAAAGCUAUUUUCAAGAAAAAUUUUUAAAAGAAUGGUUUUUUUUUUUUGUGAAUCUUUAAAUUUUUUUUUUUUGUGAAUAUUUGAACUUUUGAAGAUAUUUUAACUUUUUCAAAUCUUUAAAUUUAUUUGCAAACAAUCUUUGACCUUCUACGAUUUUUGAACUUUUGCAAAACUUUGAAAUCAUUUGUGAACCUUCAAACCUUUAAUGUGAAUCUUAAAACCUUCGAUGUGAAUCUCAAAAUCUUUAAUGUAAAUUUCAAUACUCUCAAUAUAAAUCUCAAAAUCUUUGAUGUGAAUAUCGAAACCUUCACUAUGAAUCAAGAAACCCUUAAUGUGAAUCUCAAACCCUAAAUACAAAUAUUUAAUUUUUAGAUGUGAAUCUCUAAAAAUUUUUCAAAUAUGAAUCUUUGAUUGUUAGAUGUGAAUCUCUUCAAAUGUGAAAUUUUAUUUUUAGAUGUGAAUCUCUAAAAUUUUUUUAAAUAAAAAUCAUUAAUUGUUAGAUGUGAAUCUCUUUAAAUAUGAAUAUUUGCUUUUUAUAUGUUGUUAGGUUUAUAGGUUAGAUGGUGAUCCAAGAUGGGGGUGAAUUGGAUCUCUCCAAAUUCUUUCCAAAUAAUGAUUUCAAUAUAGUUGAAUGAAAAUUAAGACAAUAAGCUCUUUUGAUAAAAAUAUAAUGAAGGCAAUAACAAUCAAUGAACUUAAAAUCAAAUAUGGACAACAAUAAAUUAUAAGGAGAUAGGGAUAGAGAAAUCAAACACAAUGAUUUAUAGAGGUUUGGUUCUUCUCCACAAGGCACCUACGUCCUCUCUCUUGGUUGUCCAUACUAAGGCUCAAAUCUAUUAUGUGUUGAAGAUUACAAACAAGCUUUUCCAAGCUUUACAAACUCAACACAAUACACUCUUAAGGGUUAUCCUCCCCCUUAAGCUUACAAUCACAUAAUACAAAAUUUCAAGUGUUUGGCAAACUCUAAGAACCUUUCAAAGGUUGGGUGUUUGCUAAUUUGAAGUACACAAAGGUAUAGAUAAGACAAAGAUUAAUGAAUAACAAAAAGAUAAUUUGGAUACAAUGAAUGCAAGGAUAUAGACUUUGAAGCUCUAAAAACUCUUGAUUAUUUGAGAAAAAGAAAAUAUUGCUUGUUAGCUCUUACUCUCUUGAUUUCUCUUGUUUCCUCUUGCUUCUUGGUGUGUUAAAGUGCCCAAUUUAUAGAGAAAUUGAGAAACUAUCCGUUGGGGAAGCUUGAAGUGAAGAAAUGCCCAUUGGAAUGAUGAAAAAGUAGCCAUUGGAGGUCUUCAUGCCCAGAAUCGAUCGAUCCCUUCUUAAGGGGAUCGAUUGGUUCAUGUUGGUUCAAGCACGAUUUUGUGCUUAAAAAGCCUUACCCGAUCGAUCCCUUCCUUGAGAGGAUCGAUUCCUUGCCUAGGUGAUUGAUCCCUUAUGUGGGGGGAUCGAUCUCUUUUUUAGAUUUUCAGCUUGGGGGGUAUUCUAUUUGAGGAAGCAAUUGAUCCCUUCUAGAGGGGAUCGAUCCUGUCCAAGCUGGUGGUUGUUUCUCGUUCUAUACUCUACUCACUAAUUUGAUCAUAAAUUGAGUUAUACAAAUCCAAAUCACAAACCAUUUGAAGAUUUAGAAACUAGACCUAAAGGGAUUUCGAUCCAUAUAAAGUUCAUCACCUAAUUCAUUGUGUACUAAUUAUAGUGAAUUUUCAAAUCUAUCUUUUGUGUAGUUUUAUGGACAACUGUAAUGUGUCUAGUAAAAAUUCAAAAUCUUUUCUUAGAAAAUUUGGAUUUUCAUUUUGUUUGAUCCAUUAGAAAGUAGACUCAAAGAGCUUGCCAACCCUAUAAAAUUCAAGUAUUAAAACCUUGUGAAUUUAUAUAGAAAAAUAAAAUAAUUUCAAUGUUGGAAAACUUUGUUCUUGUAAAAACAACUUUCCUAACUUAAUCUAUUUCCCAAAACCAAUAUUAUCAAAAUUGUAUUAAGUCCAAAAUGAAUAAGUUCACUUUAAAAACAACAAUUGAACUUUCAUUUAAGCUCAAAUAAAUAAUCUUGAAAGGUAGAUUUGGUUUGAGAAAUAUGACAAGAAAGGCUUGUUUAAACUUUAAAAAUCAUAUUAUUUAUUUAGUACCAAAAUAUAAAACUUAAGAACAUGUACUAAAUAAAUCUUUUUCAAAAUCUUGAUCAAAUUUAUUUAGCUUUAAUGUUUUGUCAUUUCAAAAUAAUGAUCAAUUCAAGACUAACAAUGCUAUUUUCAAUAUCAAGCGCUUACCACUACAUUAAAAGCUAUAGCUGAUAGUAAAAGCGUAACUCUAUUUUCUUAUUCUUUUUUGGUAGCGUAAAGCCCCUUACUAAGCAACAGGUGGACAUAAGGGCUUUGCAAAACCUUCAUGGGAUACCCCACCCAUUAGGCUUCGACAAGUUGGGUUGUCAUACAUCAAAAUUUGAUCCAUUAUGGGAUACCUCAACCAGAUGAAUCGACAUACCAAGUCCCUAAGGGAGACCGCUAGACCCCAUAAUCUAACAAUCUCUCCUUCAGUGGGACCUAGGGGACUCGAACCUGCAACUUGCUCUGAUACCAAUUUUUAAGAUCAAGCGCUUACUAUUAUAUCAAAAGUUAUAGCUGAUAGUGAAGGUGUAACUCUAUUUCUUUAUUCUCUUUUGGUAGUGCAGAGCCCCGUACUAAGCGAUAGGUGGACAUAAGGAGCUUUGCAAAGCCUUCAUGGGAUACCUCACCUAUUAGGCCUCGACAGGUUGGGUUGCCAUACACCGAAAUCUGAUCCACCAUGGGAUACCUCACCCAAAUGAAUCGAUAUACCGAGUCCCUAAGGGAGACCGCUGGACCCCAUAAUCCAACAUAUGUGAAUCUCUAAAAGUUUAUAAAUGCAAAUCUUUGAUCUUUAGAUAUGAACCUUUGAAAUUCUUCAAAUGAUUAACUUAAGCUAUCUAGAUGGCCAUAUAAGUAAUAAUUGGUCAACAGUACAAUAUUAUCCUUAUAAGACACAAAAAAUUCUAAAAAAUUCCAUUAUACAUUAAUACCAUCAAAUAACAAAAUGGAACACCAAAUAUAACCUCAUUGCAUAAUAAGUAACCUCUAGGAGAACAAGUAAAAAAGCAUAUAGUUUCAGUAAGCUCUUUUGUCACUUGUAAUAAUCAACAAGAAUGAUGUAAUAACUAAUUUAUUAAUGUCAUUUUUUUUGGAUUAUUAACAAAAUACGCACAUUAUUCAAGCUCAACAAAACAUGCACAAAGAAAUUUUGAUCUUUCUUCCCUCUUUAUAUAUAAAGGAAAUGUCUCUUUCAAAGAUUUCUUCCAAGACGUAAUCAAGCUUAAAUGUCAUUUUUAUAUGUAACUUUCAUAAGUAUUAAUUUUCCAUUACUUAAUAAACUUUGACAUAUCUGUAACACUGAUUACUAUUUUUUAGUUGAGUUUUAUAAAUGGAUAAACAUAUUAUAAUUACUAUCACAUAUGAUCAAGUAGCACUAUUCCAUUACCAAAGAAGUUUUUUUUUUCUUUUAAUUUAACAUUGAAGAUUAGGUUCAUACAUGAGGAGAGAAGGGCUUAGCUAUUCCUGUAGUGAUUUUAUUUUUCUAUUUUCAUAAUAUAGACACAAAAAAAGAGAGAACACAACAUGAAAACCAAAAAAAGAUAAGAAACAAGCAAACUACUUAAAGUUAUCCUAUCUAGUCCCAUGAUACAUAUUUAUUCAUAAAAUAAAACCCUACACCUUAUAUUAUAAAAUAAAAUAGGUCUAUAUAACGAUAUGCUCCUUCUAAAUUUGCAUGUUGAAUCUUUCAAAACUAAAGUGUGAAAGUGUUAGAGUGAAAAUGAUGUGAAGUUCCCAAUCCUAAUCAUUGUUUUGGGAGUUAGGGUCCCAAUGGGCAAUGGAGGAAAGACUCAUAAGGAUGGUAGUAGGAUUCUAAAUGUUAGUAGAAAUCAAAAGGUUACUAGAGAAAGUUAAUGUGGUGAAGAAUAGUUAAGGAAUCAAAAGGAGCAAAAAAAAACACUAAAUGACGAGUUAUAAUUGCUGCAAGAGCCAACGAGAAUAUAAGGAAGUUGACAUCAGAAAGACAAAGAAGGAACCCAUCGGAUGACGGACGAUGAUCAAUGGCACCAGGAAUAGAAAAGGCAUAAGGGAAAUGAAGGGAAAGUGGCGUAGAUGAUGGUCGAAGAGAGAAAAUGGGUUUAGAGAUUUUUUACGUAAGAGAGAAAAUGAGAAAAAGAUUUGGGAAUUUCAUUUUUAUCCUGCUUACUGAUGGAUUACCAAAAGAAAUUCCAUUGGAAAACUAUUUUUUUAAAAUUUAAUUUACUUUUUUUACUUGUUCCAUUUAAUUUUGUACCAAAAUUAUUUACUGACAAAAUAAUCCAUUCGUAGUCCGUCGGCAAUGAUAUUUCCAAUCAAUUACUGAUGUAUUAUUUUAUUGUUAUUUCUAAUACUAAAUUUUCCUUUCCCCACUAAAUAUUUACCUAUAGAAUACCAAUUGAAUAGUUUUAUCAGCAAAUCCUGUUGGUAUUCUAUCAGUAUUUUGUCAAAAAAUAUUGAAUUAAUUUACAAUUAUGUUUUGUCGACAAUCCAUUAAAGAUACGUCAGUAAUUAUCAAUGAAAAAUUUUGUCAGUAAACUUUUAUUAGUGUUGAGCAAAUUUUGGGUAGUGUUUUAGAUAUGAAUAUCUUGAAUUUUGUGAAUGAGAAUCUUGAAUUUUGUGAAUGAGAAUCUUAAAUUUUUGGAUGCAAAUCUUUGAAAAUUUUCCAAUAUGAAUCUCUAAAAAUUUUUUUUAUGUAAAUCUCUAUAAUUUUCAAAUGUGAAUCUCGUAAAAUUUUCAAAUGUGAAUCAUUUUUUUUUCCUUCAAAUGUGAAUCGUCAAAUUUUUAUUUUUUCAAAUGAAAACUUUGAAAAGAAAAAAAAUGAAAAAUGCAAAAAUAAAAGACCAACAAAAAAUCAAAAAAAAAAAAAUGAAAAAAAAAGUAUAUUUUAAUUACUUAUUUAAAUAAAAUUAUUACCUAUAUCUUUGCUUUAUUUCUGAUUCUUAAUAAUGUGUUGAAAGAGAUAGUUGUAGACACUAAAUCUUGUCUAGGUAAAUCUCAAUUUUUAUUCAAAAUUUGGACAUGCACAAUUAGAGCCCAUUUAAACAUUUUAAUUAGGAUUUAUUGGGUCUAGUUCUAUUUAAUUAAAAUCAUAUUACAAUUUAAGCCCAAUUUUAGGGCCUAAAGAUGGUUUAUUAGGUUAAUUAAACUUUAAUUAAAAAAAGAAAAAAGUGGUGUUGUGUAUGACACCAACUCGCCACCCUACUAAUUGUCGGUCUCUUUUUGCAACUCUCUUUUCCCUAAAAGUAAGCCUUUUCUAAUGAUCAUGCCUUUCUUGGUUGUCAGUCACUCCCUUCUUUUAAGCAAGUUGACUUAAUAUAACAAAUAGAAAAAUUGAAACUUAAAGAGGAUUUGACACAUGUUAGUCUUAAAACCAAAAUAUGGCAGUGCCUAGAAGGCCACCCUUAUAGGUAAAAAUCUGAAAACCUUCCUAAUCGGUGAUGACACUUUGAACCCUUAAUCUUAAUUGGCUUUAUAAAUUGAGUCUUUGAGCAAACUACAAGGGGGUGAACUUUUAGAGAAUAAAAAUUUUGAAAAAACAAUUCCUAAUGACUAGAACUAUAACAACCUCAAGCCUUUACUGUUCAUAGUCCCUACAACCACCAUUAAACCCAUCCUUACCAUGCUCUAAGCAAAUCCACCCCUUGCAUCCACCAGAAGCAAACCUACCAUCUGUUUCCAACUAAACCACCUAAGCACCACCCACCACUAACCUAGACCUUAACCAAAUCACUAGCUCAGUUGAAACACCUAAUUACUCCUCUAACCACAAUGAAGACCUACCACCUUAAAAAAUACCAACAGCCAUGAAAAAAGCCACAUCUCUGAAGGAAGCCAUAGUUUGAAAAAAAAACUAAAAACACAAGAAACAACACAAAAGCCAAAAAAAAAAAAAAACUUGGAUUUUUAGUUUAGGUUGUUCUAAGGAGAUUCAAAAUUGGAUUUUUGGAAAGAUAAAGGUCUUAGGUAGAGGAACGACAUAAUGGGAGAUGACAAUGAUUAUAACAACAUAAGAUGGCUAUUUCGGAUCUUGUAAUCAUUGGCUUUCGACUUAGAUCUAGGACUUUGUAGGUUGAUUUUGGGAAAACUAAGGUUAGAAUAGAGAUUAGGACAUUAAAGAGAGCUCAUGGUGAAAAUUUGAGGCUAAACGGUGAUCAGAGGUAAUGGUGACUGAAGGCCGACAUGGUGGUUGAUUAUUGAAUUCUAGAUUUGUUUUUAUUUUUCUGGCAAGCUAAAGUUUUAGAGAAAAAAAAAGUGCACAUACCCUAUUUUGUCAGAAAACUUUUUCGAUACUCAAUGCGUUUUAAAUUUCAUUAUUGCAUUUUAAAAGAGAGCUUAAACUUUAAGCCCAAAUUUAAAAAUCCAAAAGGAUUUUAUUUUUAUUUUUAUUUUUAUUGUUUGGUCAAAAAGUCAAAGUUAAAAAAAGUUUUUAAUUUAAUUUGAUUUUUUUAUUUCUUUUAUUUUAUAUUUGAUUUGUUUAUUUUUGGUAAAAAGAAAAACAAAUUGAAAAAAUAGGAAAGGGAUCAGGAAUCCAAAAUCUAUUGAUUCAAAGGCAAAGUUUAGUUUUAUAUAACUUGGGCACCAAUUGACUAUGAAAAGGAAAUAAGAUUUUAAAAAUAUUAAAAUAAGAUCUUAAUAGAUUCAAUUGCAUUAAGAUUUUCCUAUUUGAUCUAGGAUUUGAAUCUCUAUAUAAUAAUGAGCAAUGAAGCACAAAUCAACAAGCAAUAAUCAAGCACAAACGAAGAAAAUAGCAAUCAGGCAAUAGAUAGCAAGUUGAGUAAACAAAAAUUUUUUAAAUUUGGUUUUGUAUUUUGUUAAAAAAUGUUGAUUCGAUUUUUUAGGUAUUUUUAAAUUUGUUUUUGGAAAUUUUGGUAAAGAAUAGUAUUUUUAGGAAAUAGUUUUGGAAUUUUUUGAGUUGUUUUUGGGAUCUUUAUGAGCUUCUAAAAUUUUUUGGGUUUUUUAAGAAUUUUUAGAAUUUUUUGGGUUUUUGUUUAAUUUUUGGAUUUUGCUAGGUAAGAUUGAAUUUUCCAAUGAACUCUUAAAUUUUUCAAUGGGAUUGAUGGUGGCUGAAGGGAUUUUACAACAAUCAAUUUCUAGAAUUUUUGAAGGUUUCUAGGGUUGGUUAAAUUUUUCGGCAACUGAUUGGAUUUUUGGACAACCGAUUAAAUUUUUUUAUUUCAAAAUUUAGGUUUUUGGCUAGUUUUUGAAAGCUAUUGAAUUUUUUGAUCGAGUUUUCUAAAGAGGAGUUAAAGAACUUCUGUGGUACUGAGAGAAAGAAAAAAGAAAGAUGUUGGCUUAAAUACUGAGGAAAAGAUGCCGUUUUGGUCCAUAUGAGGCUACUGACUUGAUUGCCAUCUAUGGAACUUUCUGCAUCAACCCGAUUUAACUCAAUUGUAGGUUUUUUUUUUCAUUUUUCAUUUUUUGUUUUGAUUUUUUCCUUUAAUUUUGAUUUUUAAAUUUUUUUUAUAUAUUUUAAUGUUUUUCUAAUUUCAUUAUAUUUUGUUGUUUAUUUAUUAUUUAUUUUUUUAUAUUAAUUUUGGUUUAAUUGAAAAAUAAUGUAAAAGAAAAAAGAAACUUUGAUUGAAUUUUUAUUCUUUGUUGCAUGAUAUUUAUUAUGAUAUUUUUGCAUUAAUUUUUAUGACAUUAUUGCAUGAUAUUUAUUAUAACAGUUUUUACAUGAUUUUAUUAUGAUAUUAUUGCAUGAUAUUUUUAUGUUGUUUUUAUGAUAUUAUGAUAUAUUUUGAUAAUAUUUUUGUAUGAAAUUAUUUUGUAAAUAAAUAAAAAUAAUAAAUUGGCUUUUUGUUAUAAGAUAUUUAAUAAAUUUGAUUAUGGAGUCUCUUCAAGUAAACAAUGAGUUUAUCUUGAAUACUUUUGAAGUGCAAAAAAAAUUCUUUUUGGUGAAAGCCUAAAGAUAUUUUUCCAAUAAUCAAAUAUCAAAAUUAAUAAAAAUCAUUUUGAAUUAAGGCUUAGACAAGAUAAUAUAAGGCUUAUUCGAUACCAAUUUUAAGCAUUGUGGGAGUGCUAAGACAUUCUCUACAUGUAAUCAACUCUCGAGUUUAGUUCUAAAGAUUUGGCCUAGAACUUCUUCCUUUUAAGGACCUUUAGUUGAGGCUUAGAAUAUUUUUAGAAGGAAUAAAUUCACUUAGGUGGUCAAUCACACCUAGAUAAAAAAAUUGGUGCCAACUCCAUGUUUUGUGUCUAAUGAUCAGGUUUUUAGACUUGAACGUUAUGAUAGAAGGUUUUGAUGUUAGUGAGAGAAAGUAAAGAGGAAAAAAUGAGAUAAUUGAAAAUUUUUUGGAUUUUCUAGUUAGUAGGUUUAAAAAAACUAUGUAGUUUUGGGUAGAAAGAACGAAAGGACAAAAAAAGUGAAACAAGAUUGAUUUUUGAUUGAUUUUGACCUGUUUGAUUUUAAAAAAAUUUCUUUCUUUUAUUUAGUUAUUUGUUUGUUUAUUUAUGGAUUGACUUGCAUAUUUAAAGCUAAAAUUUUAAAGGAAAUGUAUUUUUUUUAGUAAUGCUAAACAUAAGUUUUCUUUUAAAAUUGAUUAAAUGGUAAAUUUAUAUAUAAAUUAAAGAAAUUAGAAAAUAGAAAUAAAAAAAAUCUUUCUAAUGAUGAGAUACUAAAAAAAUCUUAGUAGUGAUUCUUUUAAAAUCUUUAGCCAAGAGUAAUUUUCUAAAAUGCUACAAAUUAUUGGAAUAUUUAGAAAAUAUUUAAUACAAACAAGUUUUCAUUUACUUAUUGUUUUUGUUUUUAAAAAAAUAGAAAGAGAAAAGGAUUUUUCAAAAAUGAAUAAAAUUAUAUAUUAUAAUCAUGUUUCAUUAUUUGCAUUUCAUGUGCAUUAAUUAAUUUUAAAAAUAAAUAUGAACCUUUGAGAUGAGAUUUUAAUGAAAUUUGAAAAGUGACUUUUAAGAAAACUCUAGUGAAAAAAUCUCUUUUAAUGUUACCAACAUAGUAGAAUAUUUUGAGAGUUUUUUAAUAAACAAAGUUCUUUAUUUUUUAAAAUUAAAAAAUAAUGAAUUUUUUAAGACAGUUUAAAAAAAGAAAUAAAGCUAGUAAAAAAUAAAAAAAUUAUGCAAUAAAAAAGAGCUAAAGGAAGUGUUUUUAAAUAUCAAAAUCAAUAUUAUUUUUGUUAAGAUUAAAAGAUAAUAUGUGAUUAAUUGGUACCGUUUUUCAAAACGGAUGAUGUGGGUUACUAAUAUUUCUUCACGUGUAACCAUACUUUAGAAUCCAAUUGUUUUUGCAUACCAAAAAAAAAUUUUUUUUUGAUAAAUUUUAAUUAAUUUUAGAGUUUUAUUAAAAAGAUAAAUUUUUUUAGGUGAUCAAUUGUGCCUAACAAAAAAAAAUAACGACUUCUAAUAUUUUUUAAAUCAUCUAACAAUCAAGUUUUAAGACAGAAUCGUUACAAUAGAUACACCCAAAUUGUGAUUUUGAACUUACUUGCUCAAAUAGAAAGCUGAGCUGCAUUGCAUGGUUUUGUCCAAAAAAAAAAAAAAACCUAGCUUAAGAGUUUUGUAAUAUCACUCUUAUAGGUUAUUCUUUCAAUUAUUGCUAUAUGGUUUUUUUUUUCUUUUCUCAUCUUCUUUGUGAAGCAAGGUAAAUCACUCAUAUCGAUUAUUCUUUCUCCAAUGUGGAAGUAGUUAUAUCUUUUCCAACUUUUGUUGAUAAAGAUAGAACUCCCAAUACGCCAAAUUUAGGCGCUUAAUGAAAUUUACUUGAUAUUGUGUCAAAAUGAUGUUUGUUUUUGAUACUUUGUUUCAAUUCUGAUUACUAACUAUUUGAUGAAUUGGGGGCUAAGCCCCUUCUGCAUGAAUUUUUUGCUUUUUAUUAGGAACAAGGACAAUAAGAGUCCUAGAACUUCUAGUAUCUAGAUGAUAUAUUAUUUGAAUUUAUGAACAUACUUUUGUACCAUUUCUUAUCAAAGAUAUGAUUGUUUAAAAUAUUCAUUUAAGCUCUUGUUUAACAGUUUAAGAACAUUUGAGUCUUCUCAAGGUAGUCUUCUUAGGGUAUAGGGCUCUGUAGGAGAAAGCAAGUCUUGUUCGGAUGCAAGAGAGUACUGCCUCAGGAUUACUUUGGUUAGGUGGUCUUUGAGGAUUUAGUGAGUAGAGUAGUUUUUGCAGGUUCAUAAUGAAGAAAGGAAGGGCGACAAUGGAGGAAGAAUUGAAUGAGAGGUGGAAAUUGCUGAGAUUAACGGAUGAAGAAAAGGAUUGUAUAGUGAGGUUGGAAGUGAGAAGGAAACCGAAAAUGGAGGAAAUUGGCCGGUUGGGAAGCUGUUAACACAGAGGCCCUUCAACAAGGAAACGUUGAAAGGGACGAUUAAACUGGCAUGGCGAUUAGCGAAGGAAAUGGAGAUUAUAGACUUGGAGAAUAAUCGGCUUUUAUUCAAAUUCGCUACAAUGGCGGAUAAAGGAAGAGUGAUGGAAGGAUCCCCAUGGUCCUUUGACAAACACAUAAUUUUGUUCCAGGAAUAUAAAGGUGAAUUAAGGCCAGAUGAAUACCACUUCAACACUACCUUGUUCUGGAUUCAGGUAUAUGAGGUCCUGCUGGGAAUGAGAAAGCAGGAGACUGGCCAACGAAUAGGGGAGAAGCUAGGGAUCCUAAAAUCAGUGGACACGACCUUGGAGAAAGGAGGAUGGCUAAGAUUUUACGAUUACGGGUGGAGAUAGCUAGAUGUCAGAAAGCCUCUACGAAGAGCGGUGUUAUUAUAUGCAGGAGAGCCUAGCAAGGAAAUACGAGGCAAACUAAGAUACGAAGACUCCCCACUUUUUGUUAUGUUUGCGGGGUAUUGGGAUAUACAGAGGAGGAGUGCGACCAGAAUGAAGAUUCGGGGAAGAAUAGCCAAAAAGCAUGACAUUAUGGUGACUGGAUGCGACAUCGCCUCUAAAACAAAAUAGAUUCGAAUGGGGACAAGACGGUAAUGGAACUCGGACGACAAAUGAAAAAGGGUGGAAAUUGAAUGUAGAUAUGAGAAGCAGGGAUAGGGUAGUGAACAUGGCGGCCCAAGGUAGUGGAGUGGUUCAGAAACUGCAUGUAACCAAAACUCAAAUAGAAGGGAACCUAGUGGGAGGAUAGGUGUGAAUCAGGGCAAGAUCCUAAAAUAUUCGAGAUUUCAAAUUACAAGAGCAGAAUUGAUGGGAUUAUUAAUAUAGAAGAGUCCUUCACGGUAAUGGAAAAUCAAGAUCGCGAUGGAGUGAAUAAAGCGGGCCUGCAGCUGGGAGAUGAUCAAGGAACCCAAGAUUCACGUGCAGUAUGCAUGCAAAACAUUAAACUUGCAAUAGAAUCAUUUGGUAGUAAGGAUGAACACUUGGUGCAUGAUAUGGUAAGUGGUCUAAGGCAUGGAAGGGGUGUUGAUAAAAAGAACGUGGAAUGCAUGACAUGCAUGGGAAGGCUUGAUGGAGACGAAACACAACAAUCUGACGUUGUUUCCAAGCAAAAUGAGACUAAAAGAGGUGGAGUAGGACCACAUUGGCAAUGAAGAUAGACGAGGAGCAAAAGAAAACAAUGGCCAACUAGGAGAUUCUAAUAGUGGGCAGAACGUACACAGUUCAAGGCCAAAUGGAAAAAGAUGGAACGAGCGCACAUGAAUAAGAAGAUUUGCACAGGAAUUGAAUUAGGAAAAAGGAAACUCGCUAAUGAGGGGAUAAUUGAUAUGGAGAUUGACAGCUCUCAUAAAAGAAAAGGACUGAGGUUGGUAAUGAGGAAUGUAACUAUCAAACGGCGGAGACUAGAUCCCAAUCCCGCCGAGCCAAAUGAAGUGCUCAGCCUGGAACUGCCGUGGGCUUAGGAACCCAUGCCCAGUUCGAGCUCCUCAGCGAAUAAUGAAGAAAGAAGAGCCCACGUGGUUUUCUUGUGUGAAACCAUUCUAAAAACACAGGAUUUGGAUAGAAUAAAAAGGAAGUGCAAGAUGGAUUGUGUGUUAGGUGUAGAUGCAAGAGGCCAUAAUGGAGGUUUGGCUCUAUUUUGGAAGGAAGGGGUAAUGCUAAAUUUAAUGAGUUUCUCAAGGUACCACAUCGACACUGAGAUUAUAGAUGAAAAUGGCCAACAAUAGAGGUUAACUGGUUUAUAUGGAGAUCCAAACACAAAUUCCAGGCAUCAUGCAUGGGAUAUGCUCAAAAUUUUGGCAACAAACACCCAAAGACCAUGGGUAUGUAUUGGUCAUUUUAAUGAAAUUUUAUGGGAUGACGAAAAGGAAGGUGGGAGCCUUAGACCAGAAUAGCAAUUGAAAAACUUCAGGAGAGCCUUGGAAGACACAAGAUUAUUGGACUUGGGUUUUCAAGGACCAAAAUUCACAUGGGACAGAGGUAGGAACGCUAGGUCAAGGGUAAAGGAGAGGUUGGAUAGGGGAGUGGCAAACUUGGCAUGGUAGUAUUUUCCCAAACCAAGUGGUCCGUCAUCUAGUAGCUCCACAACCCCAUUUUGUUGGACACGCACGGAAAAAAGGUGAAGAGGAGUGGAGGUAGGAAAAGACGAGGAAGGAUUUUUGAAGCUAUGCGGUCACAAAAGGUCGAAUGUGAGAGGAUAAUAAAAGAGGUAUGGAACACUGACAAGGAGUAUGGCACAUGAGCAAAAAUGGGUGAUAUGAUGAGCAAGCUAAAUGGGUGGAGUAAAAAUAUUUUUUAAUGGGCCCAAGUAGAAUUGGAUGCUUUAACUAGAGAACUUCAACAAAUAAAAGAACAAGGUGGGGACCACAUUCAUUCUUGGCGUGAAACACAAAUAAAAAAUAGAAUGAAUGAAUUAAUGGAAAGGAAGUGUACUAGAUGCAGAGAUCAAAGAUUAAUUGGCUGCAAGAAGGAGAUAGGAACACUGCUUUAUUUCAUGCACAGGCCUCAUAUCGCAGAAAAAGGAAUUUUAUCAGGGGGCUGAAGGAUGAGAAUGGGAUAUGGCAUAAGGAUGAAUUAGAAGUGAGCAAGCAAGCUGAAGGAUAUUUUAAGGAUUUAUUUAAAUCCUAGAGACCGUCUAAUUAUGAAGAAAUUCUGAAUGCAAUAAAUCCUCGAGUGAUGGAUGAGAUGAACAGAUAUCUACUUACAGAGUUCAGUCCUGAGGAGGUCUACCACACAGUCAAACAAUUUCACCCCAUAAAAGCUCCUGGACCCGAUGGUAUGCCUGCUCUAUUUUUUCAAAAAUAUUGGCAUAGGUCCAGAGGUUCCUAGAUUCUGUCUUGACAGCUUAAAUGGGGGAAAAUUAGAUGAGAUUAUUGACACUAAUAUAGAGCUUAUUCCCAAAAUUAAAGACCCAAAAAAAAUGACCCAGUUUCGCCCAAUUAGUCUUUAUAAAAUUAUUGAUUAAAUUAUUACUAAUAGGCUUAAACAGAUUUUGCCUUCUUGUAUAAGUGAAAACCAGAGUGCCUUCGAACCAGGUAGAUUGAUAACUGAUAAUGUUAUCAUUCCCUAUGAAAUCCUGCAUACACUGAAAUCCAAACAAAAGGGUAAAGAAAGAUGGAGUGCUGUUAAAUUAGAUAUGAAGAAAGCAUAUGAUAGGGUGGAAUGGGGUUUCACAGAAGCUAUUAUGAAGAGGAUGGGCCUUAAUGAGAAGUGGGUGUCUAUCCUUAUGCAUUGUAUUUCUUCUAUCUCUUACGUAAUUGUAAAUGGCACUUUAACUGAUACGAUUAUUCCAGAAAGGGGACUUAGGCAAGGUGAUCCCCUAUCACCCUAUUUGUUUAUUCUUUGCACAGAGGGAUUAUCUGCACUUCUUCAAAAGGAUCAACUGGAAGCCAAGCUGGCAGGAGUCCGAGCUAGUGUAAAUGGCCCACGGAUCACUCAUCUCUUUUUCGUGGAUGAUAGUUUUCUGUUCAUGAAGGCAAACCAAAAAGAAUAUGAGAGAGUGCAACACUUGUUAAAGAUUUAUGAGGAAGGUUUAGGGCAGAAAAACUAUGAGAAGUUUGGUUUGUUUUUUAUUCACAGCACUAGUAAUGACAAAGUGGAGAUGAUAAAGUAGCUGUUUGGGAUUAGGAGUACAAGUAAUCCUGAACAGUACUUAGGGCUGCCUAUGAUAGUAGGGAGAAAUAAGAAAAAAGCUUUCCGGAAGAUAGUGGAGAAAAUGGAAAAGAGAAUCCCUUGUUGGAGCAACUAGUGGAUGUCGCAAAGAGGUAAGGAAGUAUUCAUAAAGUCUAUCCUACAAGCUCUUCCAACUUAUGCCUGUCAUGUUUUUUGUUCCCACAAAACCUGUGCAAUGAUCUCAAUAGAGUAGUGUGCAACUAUUGGUGGAAACAGAAGGUGAGAAGCAAAGGAAUACAUUGGGUGCGUUGGAAGGACAUGUGUUUUAGCAAGCUGGAGGGCGGAAUGGGAUUCAGAGACUUUGAACGUUUCAAUAAGGCACUAAUUGCGAAGCAGGGAUGGAGACUACUGAACAACAAAUCCUCUCUGGUUUACAAGGUUUUAGAUGCAAAAUACUUUGCAGGGAAAUAAAUAUUGGAGGCAGAGGUGGCGCGACAACCAUCUUUCUCAUGGCGCAAUAUAUGUGUGGGGAAAGAUGUUCUACAGUUGGGUAUGAGGUGAAGGGUUGGGAAUGGUCAACAAAUCAGAAUAUGGAAUGACAGAUUGGGUGCCGAACAUUCAUAACUUCAAACCAACACUCCGAAAUAGAGCUAGUGGAGAUUACAUGAUGGUUCAUGAACUCAAAGACUGGGACACACCGAUGGAAUGAAGGAAUACUGGAGGACCUUUUCUCCACAGAAACAAGAAAUGAAAUCAAGUUGAUCCCGAUCAUUCGGUUAACUGCCUUGAUGUACAAAUAUGGAACUACACAAAAAACAGACAGUACAUGGUUAGGAGUGGGUACCAUCUUCUGGGAAUGCAAGGUAGGAACAGUGGAAAUGAUCAAAGAACAACAGGUGAGGCCGAAACAAAGGAGAAUCAGGAGGUGUGGAAUAAAUUAUGGAAGGCCCAACUACUAAACAAAAUCAAAGUAUUUGGAUGGAAACUAGCUCGUGAAUUACUACCAGUGUAUGGAACUCUAAAAAGGAAACGAAUCACGAACAAUGCAGACUGCCCAAGAUGCCAUAGUGGCGAAUAGACAGUUCUGCAUGCAAUGAAGGAGUGCACAAAAGUAGAGAACACCUGGAAGCUUGUUAAUCUAGAACGUGAGUGGUCGGGAGAAAAUUUUCAAAACACCAUGGAAUGGGUUGCCCAUGUGGCACGUUCUUUCGAUAACCAUAAGUUUGAUAUUUGGCUCACCCUUUGUUGGGCAAAUUGGAAGAGCAAAAACGAUGAGGUCAAAAGCAACAUAAACAGACCUUAAUAUUCCACUGUUUCCUUUGCAGCGAAAUUUGUGGUAGAGUGACAUGAGGCUUAAAAACGACAGAUAUACAAGUCAAGAAGUGAGAAGGAGGUCUGGAAGGCACCAAGGGAUGACCAUUAAAAAGUAAACUUUGAUGGUGCUUUUAGAGUUGAAACAAAGGAAGGUGGCAUCGGGGUGAUAAUCAGGGACCACAAAGGGGCUGUCCUAGGUGCAUUGUCUAAACCGGUUAUAAGCGUAAAUAGUGCCAUGCACAUAGAGGGAUUAGCAGUGAUACACGCCAUCGACUUUGCUACUGAAAUGGGAAUUAAUAGAAUAGGGGUGGAGGGUGACGCCCUGAGCAUUAUCAAGCUACUGAAGCAUGAGGGAGUGAAUCUGUCUCCUGUUGGAAAUAUAAUGAAAGAGGUACAGUUUAAGCUAAGGCAGAUGGUAUAUUCAUAUUGUUCCCACGUUAAAAGAGAUGCAAAUGAAGCAGCCCACACCUUAGCAAAAAUAGCAGUAGGAACACUUGAAACCAGAUAUUGGGUGGAGGACUAUGCAGAUUGUAUCAGUGUUGUAGUUGCAAAGGACUGUGAGAACUGUUAAUGGUUAAUAAAUUUAUAUUUGUCUUCAGAAAACAAAAGAAAUAAAAACAGUUUAAGAACAUUAGAUUGGUAAUAAUAUUGCAUUCAAAACCCAAAAAAAAAGAAAGAAUAAGAACGUGGUAUAGUCAUGUAUAUAUUACCUUGUGAAUUUAUCAAUUGAUAGUAAUUAAAUGAAAAUUAAUCGAAUAUCAACACUUUAAAUUGUUCGAUUUUGGUAAAAGAAAUUUUAAAUGUCAAGAAUUUUAAAUGAUAUAUAUGGUGGAUGUUAUGCUAGUAACGAAGUUCGUAUUUGAUAAAUGGUCCAAUUUUGCCUUUCUGUUUUCAGUUUCUUUAUAGAACUCCUAGUAUGAAUUGACUAUCUUUAGUUGGUUAUAGGCAUUUUGUGCAUUUUUCAUGAAAUUUGGCGAUUUAGACUCUUUGUAUAGUUUUCAUGCCUUCCAAAGGCAAAUUUUAAAAAUUUGCCAAGUUCUUACGCAAUUAGGUAUAUGAAUGGCUUAAGUUUGUGAUUUAAGAUGAUAAAACUAUGCUACCUUACUUGGUUUGUUAUAAAACUUGGUAGUUUUAGGCUUUUGUACACUUUUAAGUCUUUCAAAGGUAACUUUUUGAACUUGAACAAUUCUUACUUAUUUAGCUUAAGUUUGUGGUAUUAAACUUGCUCAAGUGCUAGAAUUAUGCCGCCUUGUUUGGCUUGUGAUUUUCACUUUUUUGUGUACUUUUCAUGGCUUUCAAGCAAAAAAAAAUUUUAACCUGUCUGGUUCUUGCUUAUCUAGCUGCAUGGAUGAGUCAAGAGUGUGAUAUUGAACUUGCUCAAAUAAUGGUAAACUAUAUUGCAUUGCCUGGUUUGUUAAAAACAAAUAGUGAUUUUGGGAUUUUUUUAGCACUUUUUGUGUUGUUAAAAGACAAAAUUUAAAACCUGUCCAAUUUUAUUGGUUUAGGUGCAUGGAUAGACCAUGUGUGUAAUAUUAGACUUGCUCAAAUGGUAAAACUAUGUUAUUAUGCUUGGUUUGUUAUACAAGCUUAAUGAUUUUAAUCUUUUUAUAGCACUUUCAUGCCCGUCAAGGCCAAAAUUUUACACCUGCUUUGUUAUUUAUUCAGGCACAUGGUUAGGGUCAAAUUUUAUGAUAUGGAAAUUGCGCAAAUGGUAAAAUUGUGUACAGAUGCUUUUUUAUACACGGAUAGCUUGAUUUUAUUAGUUUACCAUCUGUGAAAUUGUAAAUAUAUCUUAUUCAUAUUUAGCAAAAGGAUAAAAAAAGUUUUCAAAUAAAAAUUUAAUAAUUAUUUAAGUGUUUGAUAUUUUAUUAUGAUCAAUCAAGUCAUUGAUUUUCUAUUUUGACUCAAUUGAAUUUUUAAUUUAACGAAUUUUAGUUCUAUAAAAAAAUUGAAUCAAUCAAUCUUCGAAAAAUUUAGAGAGAAAAAGGAAGAGAAAAUAGAAAAAAAAAAAAAGAAAAAGAAGAAUAUUUUAUUUUAUUUUAUUUUCAUAUAUAUAUAUAUAUUAAUUGUGUUAUGUAAUAAACUUUCAUUUAUUUUAUUAAUGUCAUAUGAAAUUUUAUCUUAAUUAUUAAAAAAAUUAACAGUAUUAUAUUUUUAACUUAAAUAAAAACUUAAUUAAAUGUAAAUAAAUAUUGGAGGCGUUGAUUGAUUACAAUAAUAAUAAUAAAAAAAAGAGUAUGAAUGAAUUUUUAAUUAUAGUUCAUAAGUUUUUAUAAGCUUUCGUAUUUUAUUGUUAUUUAGUAAUAUAAUUUAUCAAUGUCUAGAUUGAAUUAAUUAUGUUAAUUAAUAUGGUUUUAUCAUUGGUGGGUAUUUAUAGGAAGUUGAAAAUGGGAAAUAUAAUUGGAGGUAUUGAUUGUUUUUAAAUGGUUGAUGGAAGCAUUAUGGAUUUGGAUUUUUAUUUAUUUAAGUAAUAAAAUCAAAUUAGUUUUUUUAUUAUUUAUAAUCAUAUUUUACUCGUUGAAAUAUUUUAUAAAUUUCAUAAUUUUAUAAAUCAAAGUUAAAAUUAUAAAAGAAAAUUAUGGUGUUUGCCAAAAAAAAAAAAAAAAAAACCCUAGCUAAAUUGCGGCAUUUGACAAAAAAACCAAAUAAAACAGUUUACUAAAUAGAUAUCUUUCUUAAUAUACUAAAAGUUUUUUUUUUUUUUAAAUUUCAUAAAUAAGAGAUUGUUAUAUAUUUUAUUUUUUAAUAUUUUUAUAAUAUUUUAAAAGAUACAUGUCAUUUUAUUAAUUUUGUAAAUGAUUGUGAUAAUAUCUUUAUUAAAUAAUUUUCCUACAUAUAAUGUUAUAUUUAAGAUUAAUUACAGUAAAAUUUGUAGGACACUCUUAAUAAUAAUUGCACUAAGAGUUUAAUUUCAGGUUCAAUAUUUAACAAUUUAUUUAAAAAAAGAAAGAAUGGCGGUGAUCUUUUCCCCGAAAUAACAAUGAAUAAGGCACACGUUAUCUUUCCAAUAAACCCAAAUCUAAUAAUUAAAGGGUAGUUUGAUAUUGUUUUUGUUUCCUGCUUUCGAUUUUCAUUUUUAAUUUUUUUGAAAACAAUAAUAAAAAACGUGUUUGCUAACUUUUUUAUUUUCAAAACACAAAGAAAGAACAAAAAUAUUCAAAAUUGUUGAAAACAACAAUUUCUUGUUUUCAUUGUUUUUGAAAACAUGUUUGAGUUUCUGACACUGUUCAUAAGCAAAGUGAAAAGUAUUUUUAUGUUAAUAUAAUACUAUAUAUGUCUUCAUAAUAAAAAUUAUAAAUAUAAUUAAUUAUUUUUAAAAUAAAAUAAUACAAAAUUUAAUAUAAAAUAAUAAUAAAUUAAAAGUGUUUAAUUAAAAUUUUAACAAUUCAUAAGCAAUAUAGAACAUUUAAUACCAAACAACUAAUUUUAUUAAAUACUUUAAUCUUUAAUUAAAUAUUAUAUAAUAUUAAAUUAAAUAAUGUUAAACAUUAUAUGAUAGUAAUAAUUUAAAUAAAUAUUAAAUUAUAUAAUAUCUAAUAUUUUAUUAAAUAUGAAAAAUUAUAUAUUAUUUAAUAUUAAAUAUGAAAUAUUUAAUUAAAUAUUAAAUUAUAUGAUAUUAAAUAUUUAAUUAAUUUAUUAUUAAAAAUUAAUUAUUAGAUAUUAUAUUUAAUAUUAAUUGAAUUUAAUAACUAAUUAAUUGAAUUUUAAAUAUUAAAUAUUAUAUAGCAUUAAAUAUCAAUUUUUAAUGAAACAUUAUAUAUUAUUUAAUAUUAUAUUAAUGCAUAUUAUUGAAUAUAAUUUAGAAUUAUAUUAAUUCAUAAUUUUAUGUAACAAAAUUAAUAUUAAAUAAUUAUAUUUAAUAAUUUAUAUAGUUUAUAUUAAUUCAUUAAUGAGUAAGUUCUUUUUUUAAAAAAAAUUACUUUUUUCUAUAUUUAUUUUAAGGGUUGAUAGUUGCUUAUUAAUAUAAUGGUAUCAUCUAAUUUAACAACAGUAUAUAGAGUUUACACAUUGACAGUGCAACAAAUAAACUCUUUGUUAAAGGAUUUAUAUUUGAUGCACUGUCAGUUUAUAAAUUCUAUAAACUAUUACUAAAUUGAAUAAUACCACCUCAUUAAUGAGAUCAAUCAAAUGAUGCCACUUUAUUAAUGAGUAAGUUUUUUAAAAUAAUAUUACUUUUUUUAUAUAUCUAUUUUAGGGUUUAUGUUUGAUAUACUUAUUAGUGUAUAGAUUUUAUACACUAUCAAUAAAUUAGAUGAUGACACCUCAAUAACAAAUAAAUAUCAACCUUUAAAAUAAAUAUACAAAAAAUUAAUAUUUGUUUAAAAACCUACUUAUUAAUUAAGUGAUAUAAUCUGAUUUACUUUAUUAAUGAGAUAGCGUCAUCCGAGUCAUUAAUAGUGUAUAGAAUCUAUAUACUAAUAAUGUAUCAAAUAUAAAUCAUUUAUUUUAAAGGUUGAUAUUUACUCAUUAAUGAGAUAACAUCAUCUAAUUCGUUAAUAAUGUAUAGAGUCUAUACACUGAUAAUAUUUGUUUAAAAACCUACUUAUUAAUUAAGUGAUAUAAUCUGAUUUACUUUAUUAAUGAGAUAGCGUCAUCCGAGUCAUUAAUAGUGUAUAGAAUCUAUAUACUAAUAAUGUAUCAAAUAUAAAUCAUUUAUUUUAAAGGUUGAUAUUUACUCAUUAAUGAGAUAACAUCAUCUAAUUCGUUAAUAAUGUAUAGAGUCUAUACACUGAUAAUGCAUCAAAUAUAAAAGCUUUAUUAAAGGAUUUAUAUUUAAUUCGUUAUUAGCGUAUAGAUUAUAUACAUUGUUAAUGAAUCAAAUGAUAUUACCUCAUCAAUGAGUAAGUUUUUUUUUAAUUACUUUUUCAUAUAUUUAUUUUAAGGAUUAAUAUUUACUUAUUAAUGAAAUGAUAUUAUUUUAUUUAUUAACAGUGCAUAGAGUCUAUAUACUGACAUUGAAUCAAAUAUAAAUUCUUCAACAAAGUGUUUAUAUUUGAUGUACUAUCAAUAUAUAAAUUCUAUACAAUGUCAAUGAAUCAAAUAAUGUCAUACCAUUAAACAACAAAAACUGAUUGAUAAGAAAAAAAAAGGCUUAACUAAAACAGAAAAUAAAAACAAACAUGAUACUUGAUCAUUAAUGAGUCCAAACAUUAUACCUUAUCACAUGUAUAUCCAAUUCUAACAGCAAAAUAAACUUAACACAGGGACAAAAAUAAAAUAAAAUAAUAAGCAAAACAAACAAAAAGCUAGUAAUUAUGUUAUGUAUAUUUUAUUUACUUUAAUUAUAUUUAUAAAGACACCUAUCUAUGUUCGAGGUUUAUUAAAUUAAUUUUUAUUGCUGUUAUUAUUAUUAUUAUUAUUAUUAUUAUUAUCAUUAUUAUUGAUUUAUAUGUUAUAUAUAUUAUUAUUAUUAUACUAUAGUAAAUCAUAUUAUAUUAUAUUAUAUUAUAUUAUAUUAUUAUUACUAUUAUCCUUAUUAUUUCUAUUUUAUUUUAUUUAUUUUCUUUUCGAUUUUCUUUCUUAACCGGUGAAAUUGAAACUGAAACUUGGAAUUCAAUGCAAUCAAAGGAAGGAUUUUCAAAAUCAAUCCAAAAAUUAGCAAGGAACCUAGACCUAAUUUGGGGUUUAGGCAAAUUCCAAUCCUAGGAUUCAAUGCUGAGAUUGAUUCCGUCUUAUUUUCUAAAAUUGGUUGUAAGGCUGCCUAUAAAUUGAAUUAACAUUACAGAAGAACACACAAGGGGGAGGUGGAGGAAAGUUGGUGAAAAUUGUGGUUGUUGCAAAAAUUGGCUGGAUAGUAGGGUUUUAUUUUUUAGGAUUUUGAUUUCUAGGAUUCCAUGAUUGAUUUGAAGUUUCUAGCUUUCGACUUGGGUUUCUAGGAUUAGGUUUAAGGUUUUGGAAGAUUUUUAGAAAGAUCUGAAAAACACGAGGAAAAUUUGGAAAUUUUUUGGGAUUUUUUAGAAAAACUAGGUUUUUCGAUGAAUGUUUAAAGUUUUCGAUGAAUUUUUCAACAGGAAUUUGAACUUUUCAGCUAGAUUUUGGCCAAUUUUUUAGAAACCAAUGGUAAACCCAAUUUUCGAUUGAGUUUCUAGGCAUUAUUUUAGAGAGAGGUCAAAGAGAAUGGGGGUAAAGAAAGGGAGCAAAGAGUGUCUAAGGCCCAAAAUGCUGAGCUUAGCCUUUAUACUAGCCCGGUACUAUGUAUGCACUGGUGUUAAUUGAGAAGAAUAAAGACAAUGAGGAGCCCCUGUAGUGAUACAACCAUUAUUGGCAGAAUUUCAAAAUGUUGUUCAGGAGGAGUUACCAAUUGGUCUACCACUAAUGAGGGAUAUUUAACAACACAGACCUUAUCCCAAGAGCUGUUCUACCUAACAAGGUAGCCUAUAGAAUGAGUCCUAAAGAGCAUGCGGAGUUGUAACACCAAGUUGAUGAAUUGGUGAGAAAAAGAAUGGUGCAUGAAAACAUGAGCCCUUGUGCAGUCCCAACCAUUUUGGUGCCUAAAAAGGAUGGAUCAUGGCGCAUGUGACUAGAUAGUAAGGCAAUCAACAAAAUUACAGUUGAAUAUCACUUUCUUAUUCUACGGUUAGAUGAAUUAUUGGACCAACUACAUGGAGUAACUAUUUUCUCUAAGAUAGUACGUAGUGGUUAUCAUCAAAUCAGAAUGAAGCCUGAAGAUGAGUAAAAAAUAGCCUUCAAGACAAGGGAUGGUUUCUAUGAAUAAAUGAUAAUGCCUUUUGGUUUAUUCAAUGCUCCUAGUACUUUCAUGAGAUUUAUAAACCAUAUCCUUAAACCUUGUACUGGCAAAUAUGUAAUAGUAUAUUUUGAUGAUAUUUUGGUGUACAGCAAGGAUGAGAAUCAGCAUUUGAAUCAUCUACAUCAACUGUUUUGCAUAUUGAGGGAACAUAAAUUUUAUGCUAACUUUAAAAAGUGCAGUUUCUUUACUUUCAGCCUUGUGUUCCUAGGAUUUGUGGUGUCAAAAGAAAGAAUAAAGAUGAAUCUCAGUAAGGUUGAAGCAAUUUUAAAUUGGCCAACACCAGCAUUUUUGCAUGAUAUCUGAAGUUUCCAUGGUCUUACAUCUUUUUAUAGGCCUUUCAUUAGAGUUUUAGCUCUAUUAUGGCCCCAAUCACUGAAUGUUUAAAGAAUGAAGUUUUUAAGUGGACCAAAUAAGCCCAACACACCUUUGAGCUUAUCAAGACCAGGAUCACUGAAGCUUUCAUCUUGUCUUUACUAGAUUUUGAUCAAGUGUUCGAGGUGAAAUUUGAUGCAUCCAAUUCUGGAUAGGUACUAUUUUAAGUUAAUGAGGAAAGCCUAUAGCAUUUUUUAGUGAGAAGCUCAAUAAAGCCAAGAAGAAGUAUUCAACCUACGACAAAGAGUUCUAUGCCAUGUAUAAAGCUUUAUUCCACUAGAGUCAGUAUCUUCUUCCCAAGCCAUUUGUCUUAUAUUCAGACCAUGAGGCCUUGAAGUUUAUCAAUAACCAACACAAGCUCAACCGAAGGCAUGCAGUUUGGGUGAAAUUUUUUGAAGCCUACAACUUCAUUAUCAAUCAUAAAUCAGAAACCCAAAAUGUGAUGGCAGAUGCUUUGAGUCAAAAGCACUUCUUAUUGGGAACUAUAACUAUUAAAGUUAUUAGAUUUAAGUGAUCAAAGGGCUCUAUGAGACAAUCCUUACUUUGGUCGAAUUUGAGAAAAAUGCAAGCAAGGACCAUACCACCAGUUUUUGUUACAUAAUGGAUAUCUCUUGAAGGCUAACAGCCUUUGCAUUCUCUCAUGUUCUUUGAGACAAGCCUUAAUCAAUGAGGCUCAUGAUGGUGCACUAGGUGGAUACUUUAGAAGAGACAAGACACUUGCUCAUUUGCAUGAUAGGUUUUAUUGAUCGAGAAUGAAGAGGGAUGUGAUGAAACACAUUGAACGAUGUUGAGUGUAUAACAUUACCAAGAGUCAUAGUCAAAACACUAGAUUGUAUACUCCACUGUUUGUGUUGAAUGCUCUUUGAGAGGAUAUUAGUUUGGACUUUGUGGUUGGACUACCCAUAACUCAAAGGAACAAAGACUCUAUCAUGGUGGUUGUGGAUCAUUUUUCCAAGAUGGCCUAUUUCGUUUCUUGUAACAAAACUAUAGAUGCUUCUCAUGUUUUUUAUUUGUAUUUCAGGGAAAUUAUAAGGUUACAUAGAGUUCCUCGAUCCAUGGUGUCCAAUCGAGAUUUCAGGUUUUUUAGCCAUUUUUGACGCACCCUUUGGAUAAAGCUUGGCACCAAUCUCAAGUAUAGUUCCUCCGAUCAUGCUCAAAUAGAUGGUUAAAUAGAAGUAACCAACCGUAGCUUGGGCAACCUUUUAAAAAGUUAUGUGGAAAAGAAUAUCAAGUAGUGGGAUCUUGUUUUACCUCAAGUAGAGUUUACCUACAACCGUUCACCAAGCCAAACUGCUGGUUGCGACCCUUUUGAGGUGGUAUUUGGUAAGAAUCCAAUCAGUCCUCUAGAUUUAGUUUUUCUCUUUAUUAAUAAACAAUUUAGUGGAGAUCAGAAGAAAUGGCUAAGGGAAUCAAAUGAUUGCAUGAACAAGUCAGAAUUAAGAUUUUACAGCAGAAUGAGAAGUAUGAGAGGGCAGCAAAUAAACAUAAAAAACAUAUAGAGUUGAAAAAAGGUGAUUUAGUGUAGAUUAACUUACAAAGAGUGAGAUUUUCUUAGGAAAGUUUGGCAAACUAUAACCUAAGGCAGAUGGUCCAUUUAGAGUUCUCCAACGCAUUGAAGAGAAUGCCUACAAGAUAAAGCUUCCUGAUACUUAUGAAGUAUCUUUCACUUUUAGUGUUACUAAUUUAUCACCAUACCAUGGAGAGAAUGCUAGUUCAAACUUAAGGAUAAGUCUUUUCUAACCAGAGGAGAUUGACAUUUGAGUGUCUACACAUCAUACAACUUAGGCUGAGACUAAGGCAGACUUAUCCAAAAAUAAGAUGGGCCUAGCCUUGGUCUAAAUCCAUACAUAAAUAAGGUGGGCUAGAAUAGAGAGAUUACGUUUAUACUAACUAAAAAAGAAGAUCAUGAAUAUGAAUGAAAUUAUGGUUAGGUUCAGGAGUAAAUGGGCAGAUUAUGUUCACAUGUAAAUCUCAUGAUUUUCAGCAUGAUUUUAGCAAUGCAAUUUGAAAGUUUUCAUGCUUAGUGGGAUGUUUCUAGCUUAUAUAUUUUCUGUUAUUCUUUGGUAAAAGGCAGACAAGAGUUUUUUAUACUUAAGCAAUCUUUUAAAUUGUUCUUCAAGUUCUGUAUCUCUUAGGUAGAUUUUUUAGAGUGAUGAACUUUUAUUGUUCUGUAUCAUUGAUUAGAAUCUUAGGGUGAUGUUUCUAUAUCCCUUAGUUCUAAGUCUUGAUGGUGAACUUUUAUCCCUUUUAAUCUAAUAAUCAUAUUCUAUCAUUAGUCAAAUUAUUGUGAGUUGUCUUCUUUGGUAGUUUUUCUAUUUGCAGUUAAUCUCAAUAUCUCAAACAUCAAUUACUGGCAUCAAAUUGGUAUCAGAGCUAUGGCCAGUCAUCGUCGUUAAGCACUAAUAGAAGAGGUUGAAGCCAACAUCAAUGUUACAGCAACUACCAAUGUUGACCCAAAAAAUGCCCUCAUAGAGGAGAUGCGAUAACAUUUCCUUCAACUACAACAUCGACUACAUAUACAAAAAGAGAGAGGAGAUAAGAAGGUAAUGGAAGAGAAAUGAAAAAGAUGAAGGAGAAACCAAUCUAUUUCAUGAAAACAACAGGGAUUCUGAUGAUAACACCCUAUCUCACCCACGGUAAGUUUGAGACUAUGUGCGCAGAAAUCAACUUCAACCUAGCUUAUUCAAUCUGAAGAUAAAAAUUCUUGAGUUCGAGGGAAAGAUGCAACCUGAAGAAUUCUUAGAUUGGCAUAUUUGAAUACCAUAAUGCCCCUGAACAUCACAAGGUGAAGCUAGUGGCCAUCAAACUUAGAAAGCAUGCAUCUUUUUUGUGAGAAAAUAUGAAAAAGCAAAGGGAAAGAGAAGGCAAGAGAAAAAUUGUAACUUGAGAGAAGAUGAAAAGAGAGUUUAAGAGAAAGUAUCUCCUAAACAACUUUUGGUAAGAUGUCUUCCUUAGGCUUUAUAACUUGAAGCAAAAAGAUCUCUCAGUGGAGGAGUAUACAGUUGAGUUUGACCACUUCAUGUUAACGUGUGAAUUGGUGAAAUAGGAGGAGCAGACUAUUGCUUGGUAUCUUGAAAGAUUGAAGAUUGAAAUAGCUAAUGUGGUGCAGCUACAACCCUAUUGAACUUUCAAUGAUGUAUGCAAGCUUGCCCUAAAGGUGGAGAGAUAACAAAAUGAGGCCCGUAGUAGUAACUUGAGAUUUGGAUCUCGAGAAGGAUAUAUCAAUAAAGGUGGCUCAUCCAAAACUAUUGUUUCUUCUAAGUUCAUUCCAAAGCAACCCCAAAAGAAAGAUGGGACCUCAACAAACAAGUCUCAGUCUAGUGCACAAACCAAAAGGUGUUUUAAAUGUCAAAGGCUUGGAUACAUUGCUUCAGAAUGUCCAAACAAGAAGAUUAUGACUCUAGUAAAGGAAUAUUUGAAGGAAAAUGAAGAUGAGCUGACUGAAUAAGAUUAAAUCCUUAAAAAGGAAAAAAAGGUAACAUAUAGUGAUUGUGGAGCAUCGUUAGUUAUACAAUGUAGUUUGAAUACCACACCUAUUGAGAAAGAAGAUUGGUUGCGUAAAAAUGUGUUCCACACUCAAUGUACUGUCUAUGAAAAGGUAUAUGAUGUUAUAAUUGAUAGUGAAAGUUUUGAAACAUUGUUUCUACCUUUAUGGUGCAGAAAUUAAGCCUCAAAAUAGUGGAUCACCCCCAAUUAUAUAAGUUAUCUUAGCUACAGAAAGAGAAUGAAAUUAAGGCUAGCAAGAGGUGUUUGGUUCCUUUUUCAUAGGAAAGUAAUACAAAGAUGAAGUGUGGUGUGAUGUAGCUCCGAUAAAUAUGCUUACCAUUUACUGCUCGAAAGACCUUGGCAUUAUGAUAGAAGGGUUAUUUAUGAUCAUUAUCGUAAUACUUACACAUUUAUGACAGAUUGAUGUAAAGUCAUCCUAGGCCCUACCAAACCCAUAGUGAUGUCAAAACCAACCAAAGGGGAAGGAAGCAGCUUGUUUACCAAGGCUAAUUACAGAAAGAAAAUUAAGAUGGGUGGUACUAUGUAUGCACUGGUGUUAAUCGAGAAGAAUAAAGACAAUGAAAAGCCUCAUACAGUGAAACAACCAUUAUUGGUAGAAUUUUAAGAUGUUGUUAAGGAGGAGUUACCAGCUGGUCUACCACCAAUGAUGGACAUUCAACAUAGCCUAAACCUUAUCACAUGAGCUGUUCUACCUAACAAGGUAGCCUAUAGAAUGAGUCUUAAAGAGCAUGAAGAGUUGCAAUGCCAAGUUGAUGAAUUGGUCAAAAAAGGAAUGGUGCAUGAAAGCAUAAGUCCUUGUGAAGUCCUAGCCCUUUUAGUGCUAAGAAGGAUGGAUCAUGGCAUAAACAUGUAGAUAGUAGGGCAAUUAACAAAAUCACAGUUGACUAUCACUUUUCUAUUCGGCGCUUAGAUGACUUGUUAGACCAACUACAUGGAAUAACUAUUUUAUCCAAGAUAGACCUACAUAGUGAUUAUUAUCAAAUUAGAAUGAGGCCUGGAGAUGAGUGGAAAACAAAUGGUCUCUAUGAAUGGAUGGUAAUGCCUUUUGGUUUAUCAAAUGCUCUUAAUACUUUCAUCAGAUUUAUGAACCAUAUUCUUAAACCUUGUAUUGUCAUAUAUGUAGUAGUAUAUUUUGAUGAUAUUUAGUGUACAGCAAGGAUGAGAACCAACACUUAAAUCAUCUACAUCAACUGUUUUAUCUAGUGAGGGAAUAAAAACUUUAUGCUAACCUUAAAAUGUGUAGCUUCUUUACUUUCAGCCUUGUGUUCCUAGGGUUUGUGGUGUCAAAAGAAAGAAUAAAGAUAGAUCCCAAUAAGGUUGAGGUAAUUUUAAAUUGGCCAACACCAGCAUCUCUGCAUGAUAUCCAAAAUUUCUAUGGUCUUGUAUCUUUUUAUAAGCAUUUUAUUAGGAGUUUUAACUCUAUUGUGGCCCCCAUCAUUGAAUGUUUGAAGAAUGAAGUUUUUAAGUGGACCAAAAAAGCCUGACAUAGCUUUGAGCUCAUCAAGACAAGGAUAAGCUCCCAUCUUGUCCCUACCAGAUUUUGAUCAAGUGUUCGAGGUGGAAUGUGAUGCAUCCAAUUCUGGAAUAGGUGUUGUUUUAAGUCAAAAUGGAAAGCCUAUAGCAUUUUUUAGUGAGAAGCUCAAUGAAGCCAAUAGGAAGUAUUCAACCUAUGACAAAGAGUUCUAUGUCAUAUAUAAAGCUUUAUUCCAUUAGAGUCAAUAUCUUCUUCCCAAGCCAUUUGUCCUAUAUUGAGACCCUAAGGCCUUGAAGUUUAUCAAUAACUAGCACAAACUCAACCGAAGGCAUGUAGUUUGGGUAGAGUUCCUUCAAGCCUACAACUUCAAUAUCAAACACAAAUUGAGAACCCAUAAUGUGGUGACAGAUGCUUUGAGUCGAAAACACUCUUUAUUACAGAUUAUGGCUAUUGAAGUUAUUGGAUUUGAGGUGAUCAAAGGGCUCUAUGAGACAGAUCCUUACUUUGGUUGAAUUUGGAAAGAAUGCAAGCAAAGACCACACCACCAAUUUUUGUUGCAUGAUGGAUAUCUCUUGAAGGCAAACAACCUUUGCAUUCCCUCAUGUUCCUUGAGACAAGCCUUAAUCAAUGAGACUCAUGAUGAUGCACUAAGUGGACACUUUGAAAGAGACAAGACACUUACUCUUUUGCAAGAUAAGGUUUUAUUCAUCGAAAAUGAGAGGGAUGUGAUGAAACACAUUGAACAAUGUAGAGUGUGCCAUAUUGUCAAGAGUCAUGGUCAAAACAUUGGAUUGUAUACUUCACUGCCCAUGUCGAAUGCUCAUUGAAAGGAUGUUAGUUUGGACUUUGUGGUUGGAUUACCCAAAACUCUAAGGAACAAAGACUCUAUCAUGGUGGUUGUGGAUCAUUUUUCCAAGAUGGCCUAUUUCAUUCUUUAUAACAAAACUAUAGAUGCUUCUUAUGUUUUUGAUUUGUAUUUUAGAGAAAUUGUGAGGUUACAUGGAUUCUUAGAUCCAUGGUGUCCGAUCAAGAUUUCAGGUUCUUAGCCAUUUUUAGGAUACCUUUUAGAAAAAGCUUGGCACCAAUCUUAAGUAUAGUUCUUUCUGUCUUCCUCAAACAAAUGGUUAAAGAGAAGUAACCAACCGUAGCUUAGGCAACCUUCUAAGAAGUUAUGUGGGAAAGAAUAUCAAGCAAUAGGAUCUUGUUUUACCUCAAAUAGAGUUUGCCUACAAUCGUUCACCAAGCUAAGCCACUAGUUGCAACCCUUUUGAAGUGGUAUUUGGUAAGAAUCCAAUCAAUCCUCUAAAUUUAGUUCCUUUCCCUACUAAUCAACGAUUUAGUGGAGAUGCAAAGGAAAUGGCUAAGAGAAUCAAAUGAUUGCAUGAAUAAGUCAGAAUUAAGAUUUUACAGCAGAAUGAGAAGUAUAAGAGGGCAACAAACAAGCAUCGAAAACAUGUAGAGUUCAAAGAAGGUGAUUUAGUGUGGAUUAACUUGCACAGAAAGAGAUAUUCUUUAAGGAAGUUUAACAAAUUACAACCUAAGACAGAUGGCCCAUUUAGAAUUCUUCAACGUAUUAGAGAGAAUGCCUACAAGAUAGAGCUUCCCAACACUUAUGAAGUAUCUUUCACCUUUAAUAAUACUGAUUUAUCACCCUAUGAUGGAGAGAAUACUAGUUCAAACUUGAAGAGAAGUCUUUUCCAACCAGAAGAGAUUGACACCAGAGUGUCUGCAUCAUACAACUUGGGUUGAGACUAAGGUAGACUUAUCCAAAAAUAAGAUAGGCCUAGCCUUGGUCUAAAUUCAUACAUAAAUAAGGUGGGCUAGAAUAGAAGAUUGCAUUUACACUAACUAGAAAAAAAGAUCAUGAAUAUGAAUGAGAUUAUGGUCAGGUUUAAGAGUAUAUGGACAGAUUAUGUUCAUAUGCAAAUCUCAUGAUUUUAGGCAUGAUUCUAGCAAUGCAAUCUGAAAGUUUCCAUGCUUAGUGGGAUGUUUCUAGCCUAUAUAUUUUCUAUUAUUCUUUGGUAAAAGACAAACUAGAGUUUUCUUUAUGCUUAGGCAAUCUUUUAGAUUGUUCUUCAAGUUUUGUAUCUCUUAGGUGAAUUUCCUAGAGUGGUGAACUUUAUUUUUCUGUAUCAUUGAUUAGAAUUUUUAGGGUGAUGUUUCUGUAUCCCUUAGUUUCUAGUCUUAGUGGUGAACUUUUAUCCCUUUUAAUCCAAUAAUCAUAUUUUGUCAUUAUUCAAAUUAUUGUGAGUUAUCUUUUUUGUGAGUUUUUCUGUUUGCAGUUAAUAUCAACAUCUCAAACAUCAAUUUCCAGCAUCAAUGGGUGAGGAUUGGGGUGUCUUACUAGUUUGUGAUAGACAAUGAUAUAGGAAACAAUUGAAAACUUUUUAGAAAUAAUCUAAGCCAUAUAUAGUUAACUUUAAGAGCCUAAACAUAGAUAGAGCCAUGUCCAUCCACCCUUUAUAGUUAACCUAAAUCUAGGGUUAUGUUGCUUUAUAGUGUUUAUUCUAUUUUAAGGUGACUAAAUGAUUUUUUUGUCUUUUUUUAUUUUUUUUUCUUAUGCAUAGUCAUAAACAUACAUGCAGAUUGCAUAUUAUGCUUACUAAUCCUUUUUAUUGUGUAUGCAUGCAUUCAUGCAUCACUGCAUUCAUUCUCAUGCAUAAUCUGAAGGUUUCAUAAAUAUCAUUUUAAAUUUACACAUUAUGAAAAAUAAGAUUCAAGGAUAGCUCAACAGUAGUACUACACUCAAACUAGAGUCAGAAAAAAGGAGCAAGAUAAUGCAAGUCAUUUCAAAAAGAUAAAAAAAGCCUAGGAAAUACUUGAAAGAAUAUUAGGCAAGAUUCUAGAAGAUUUGGAAAAAAUAAACAGAGGAAAAGCAGUAGAAAAAUGCAUCUUCAUAAAGAUACUGAGCCACUAUAUCCUUCAAGUUUCACUCUGCAUCAGGCCCAAACCAUUCCAAGCUUGCAGUAACAACAGACCACUUUUCCAAAUUACAAUCAAUGGAAUGUUCAGAGCUAUACCAAUCAUGUCUUCACUGAAAAGAUAGAUAAGCUUAUCCAAAUUCCCAAAAUGAAUGAGACCAAAGAAGAAAUGAAGUUGCAGAUGACUAUGUCCUCAAAAGACUCUAAAACUGAUCAAGCUAUAAGCAUGAUUAAGAAAAGAUUACAGGCUGUAAAAGGCAUUGAUUUUUAUGAAUCUAUAGAUGAUGCCAACCUUUGUUUGGUUUUAGAUGUUAUGAUUCCUCUGAAUUCAAGGUACCAUAAUUUGAGAAGUAUGAUGAUACCAAAUGCCCUAUUACAUACAUCAUAAUAUAUUAUCGUAAGACGACAGUUUACAUGAGUAAUGAAAAGCUGCUCAUGGGUUUGUUUCAAAACAGCUUGAUCAAGUCUGUUGUAAGAUGGUAUGUCCAGUUAGAUAGGACUUGCAUUAAGUUAUGAAAAGAUUUGAUUCGAUCUUUCAUCAACCAAUAUUGCCAUAUCAUAGACAUGGCUCUUGAUCACCUAUCAUUGUAAGAAAUGGAAAAGAAAACAUCUGAAUCUUUCAAAGAGUAUACCCAAAAGUGGCAAGAUGUCACUACUCAAGUACAACCUCUUCUUACAAAAAAAAUGACAAUAUUGUUUAUAAGCACUCUAAAAUCACCAUACUUUGAGAAGAUGAUAGGGAACACGACUAAAAAUUUUACAAACAUAGUAAUUUUAGAGGACAUCAUUGAAAAUGCAAUCAAGAGUGACAAACUAGAAGAAAGAGAAUCAUCUGUUGCUAAAAAGAUACCCCAAAAAAAUAAAGUGAGACUCAAGCUGUGAGCUUCGACAAUAAUCUAAAAACUACUCUCAACCAAUCUAUCUCACAUAUCAUUUUCAUACAAGUCAUUGCCUCUGUUCGUUCAACUACCCCAACAAGCAGUGUGCAAGAAUCAUGGAAUAGGGAAAAGCCUACAUUUGACCUAUAUCAAGAGCUUUACAAAAAAACCACUUGAUCGCUUUUGUUUUUACAAAAUAACUUGAACCUCCAUAUCUUAAAUGGUAUGAUUUCAUUGUUCAUUAUGACUAUCAUUUUAGGGUGGCAGGUCAUUCUACUGAAAAUUAUAUCCCUUUAAAACAUAUGGUGCAAAGAUUGAUCAAAUAAUGGUUGAUAAAUUUUGAUACCAGUGGAAAUACGACAUCCAAUAUUAGUGGUAACCUAUCACUGAAUCAUUUAGAGGCAUAAUUUUAGGGAGAAUGAUUGGAACUACUUAUCAUCUUGGACUUGUUGAGAAUAUGGAUUUUUUUUUAUGUACUUAGACUUCAUAUUAUUUUUCAUCAUUUUAAUAAAGUGACGUGUUUGAUGCAUUUUUAUUAUAUUCCUCUUUUGUGUGAAUCCCAUUAUUCACUUCUUAUACCUUUUUUUUUAAUACACAUUCUUUAAUUUUGAAUAAUAAAUAUUCAGAUAGUUAUGACGAUAAUUCAAGAUUUGAUUUUGAAAAUAUCAUUUGAUGAUCUGAUUGAUAAGUGAAAAUAGUUGAUUCAUUGGGAUUAAUGAAUAAAAGGACAAGUCUGGAGAAAAUUUUUAAAAGUGAUGCAACAUAUGAAUUGUUCAUUCAUGAACCUGCUCUUAGUUAAUAAAUGUUUUUCAUUAAGAGUAUUCAUGUUCAAAAUAAGAAAUAGUCAUUUUUUAUCCCAAAAAAAAAAAAAUUAUCCCUUGGUACCCCAUUUGAGCUUGUUAAAAAUUUCUCUUGAGGAACUUUAAACCAAGGAUCACCCCCACACUAUGAGGCAAAGUUUAGAGAUUUGUUCAUCCUUUGGGGCAAAGCUCUUUUAUGCUUAAAUUUUCUUAACAAAUGAAAAAGAAAAAGAAAUUGAUGGAGGCAAAAUGCAUCCACAAAAAAAAAAAAAGAGAAAUAAAAAAAAUGAAAAGAAAAAAAAAGAAAAUUGAUGGGGCAAAAUAUCAAAGUGCUUUAUAUAAAAAAAUGAUCCUUGAUUUGAUUACCCUGCAAAUACAAUUUGGGCCUAUUUUAUCCAUUUCUUUGGCAACCUUUACCCUAGCCUACGCUACGUCCCUUAAAAGUUCAUUUUGAUCGAACAUGAAUACUCGAUUUGGAGAAUCAUGAAUUGAAUUAGGGUAGGUUUGCUAUUGGAUUGUUUGAAGCUUUAAUCAAAGUGUCACUGAUGGAUCAAAGGAUAAAUAGGAAAAAGGUGUGAAAAAAAAGUGAAAAAAAGAAAAGAAAAAAGAAAAAGUGAAACUUAGACUAAAACCCGCAAGGGCAAUUUAAGUAAAGAUAAAAUAGAAAAAAAAAACACAACUUCAUAUGAAAAUCCUAGGAAUGAGGAUGAGAUUACCUCAAAGAUUGAAGAUAUGUGUUUUUGAAAGAUGAUUCUGAGUUCAAAAUUGUCUGAACAAUCGUUAUUUUAGAUGUUAAUAUCCUACAAACCACAGCAUUUUGCCUUUGUUCACCCUUGAAUUAUUCUUGACCUUGCUUUUUGUUUACUCAAAAUAAAGACCCAUUUUUUCAUUUUUUACCAAAUAUUCCCUGAAUGAACCAAGGAAAUGUAUCACAUCUGUCAUUGGUUUGAAUGAUAGCAAAUAAAUAAAUAACAUUUUUCAUAGAGAGUUGUUCAUUUUUUGAAAGAAAUCCAAGAUGAAAUAAAUGAAAGAAGCAUGAAAAAGUGAUUUACAAGAGGCAAACAAGGUGACCUAAUGACAAAUUCAAUGAUAGAUUGGUUGACACGACUUGUGAAUUGUGACUAGAUAAGAAAAAUGAUAUGGAUCCAUCGAUAAAAUUUGCUUUAAGAUUAUUAAUACUGAGAAGCUAAGAAGAACUGAUGGAGUCUUGAGAACUUUGUCUCCACAAUUAAAAUUUCAUGACAUCAACAUUAUAUACAUCCUAGAUAAGACGUGCAUUUGUAUCGAUGCAAUAUCAUCAUCACUCAUUGUCGAUCUCAGCUCAAUCCAAAUCAUUUUUCUGACUCACGAUUUAAUCUUGAUCACUCAUUUUGAUCUCAGCUCGAUCUAGAUCAUUUUUUUUACCUUCGUAAACUUGGAAUCUUGUGAAUCUUUCUUUCUUGAGAAUUUAAAAGUCUUUGUGAAUUUGGAAUCUUUGCGAAUUUAGAAUCUUUAUGAAACUUGAAAUCUUGCAAAUAUUUUUUCCUGCGACUCUGAAAGUCCUUAUGAACCUAGAAAUUUUUGUGAAUUAAAAACCUUUGUGAAAUUUGAAAUCUUAUGAAUUUUUUUUUCUAUGAAUCUGAAAGUCCUUGUGAACCAGAGAUCUCUGUGAAUUUAAAACCUUUACGAAAUUUAGAAUCUUAUGAAUCUUCCAUUCUUGUUAAUUUGAAAACCUUUACAAAUAUUGAAUCGUUACGAUUUUGUUAUGGAACCUCACAAAUUUUUAAAUGUCUAAAUUAUAAAUAUUUGGAUUUAAAGUAAAAUUUUGAGCUUUUUUCUUGACCUACGGUUCAAUUCCUCAUAUUGAUCUCAGCCCAAUCUAGAUCAUUUUCUUGACUUACGAUUUUGUCUCGAUCAUUCAUCUUUAAUCUUGACUCAGGUCUUGGUCACUUUAUCUCUUAGACCAACGAUUUUUUCUAGGUUGUUCGAUCUUAGCUCAGUUUGAAUCAUUUUUUUGACCAGUGGUUUUGUUUCGAUCAUUCAUCUUUGACCUCAACUCGAUCUUAGUUCCUUUAUCCUGACUCACAAUUUCAUCUCGAUCAUUCGAUCUUAACUCAAUCCAGAUCAUUUCUUUACUUGCGAUUUCAUAUCGAUCAUUCAUCUUCGACCUUGACUCGGUCCUAGUCGCUUUCAGACUCACGAUUUCAUCUUGGUCAUUCGAUCUCAGCUCAGUCUAGAUUAUUUUUUGACUCACGAUUUCGCCUUAGUCAUUCAUUUUUUACCUCGGCUCGAUCCUGGUCACUUUAUCUUGACUUGUAGUUUCAUCCCGAUCAUUUGAUCUUGGCUCAGUCCAUAUCAUUUUUCUAACCUUUCGAUCUUGACUUAGUUCAGAUCAUUUUACUGACCAUUUGAUCUCGGCUCAAUCUAGAUUAUUUUCUUGACUUACAAUUUCAUCUCGGUCAUUUAUCUUCAACCUCAACUCGGUCCUAGUCAUUUUUAGACUCGUAGUUUCAUCCCGAUCAUUUGAUUUUGACUUAAUCUAAAUCAUUUUCCUGACUCAUGAUUUCAUUCUGAUCAUUUAUUUUCUUGACUUAUAAUUUCAUCUCGGUCAUUUAUUUUCAACCUCGACUCGGUCCUGAUCGUUUUUAGACUCGUAGUUUCAUCCCGAUCAUUCGAAUUCGACUUAAUCCAAAUCAUUUUCCUGACUCACGAUUUCAUUCUCAUCAUUUAUUGUUAACCUUGACUCGAUCCUGGUCACUUUAUCUCGACUCGCAGCUUCAUCCCGGUCAUUUGAUCUUAGCUUAGUCCAAAUCAUUUUCUUAACCUUUCGAUCUCAGUUCAGUCUAAAUCAUUUUACUGACUAUUCGAUCUUGGCUCGGUUUAGAUCAUUUUCUUGACCUUGUGGCUCAAUUUCAGUCAUUUAUUCUUAUUGGUUUGACUUUUGAAACAUAGUAGCUGUCUAGGUCUUUGCAUCAUCCCUGUUUAACAAGGAUGUGCAAAGAAGGGCAGCUGUAAAUACCCAUCUAUGUUCGGGAUCUAUUGAAUCGACUUUAAUUGCUGUUAUUAUUAUUAUUAUUAUAAUAUUGAUUUAUAUGUUAUAUUAUAUUAUAUUAUUAUUAUACUAUAGUAAAUCAUAUUAUAUUAUAUUAUUAUUUCUAUUUUAUUUUUAUUUUAGUUAUUUUUUUUCGAUUUUCUUUCCUAACCAGUGAAAUUGAAACUGAAACUGAAACUUGGAAUUCAAUGUAGUCAAAUGGAGGAUUUUCGAGAUCAAUCCAAAAAUCAACAAGAAACCUAGACCUAAUUUGGGGUUCGGGCAGAAUCAAAUCCUAGGAUUCAAGCUUGGAUUGAUCUGUUCAUUUCUUAAAAUAUGUUCUAAGGCUGCCUAUAAAUUGAAUUAACAUUACAGAAAAACAUACAAGGGGAGAGGUGGAGGAAAGUUGAGGAAAAAUUAUGGUUGUUGCAAAAAUUGGCUGGACAGCAGGCUUUUUUUUAGGAUUUCAGUUUCUAGGAUUCUAAGAUUGAUUUAAAGUUUCUUGGUUUAGACUUGGGUUUCUAAGAUUAGGUUUAAGGUUUUGGAAGAUUUUUAGAGAGAUCUAGAAAAAGCUAAGGAAAUCUAGAAAUUUUUUGGGAUUUUUUGGAAAAACUAAGUUUUUGGAUGAAUGUUUGAAGUUUUCGAUAAAUUUUCUAGCAGGAAUUUGAAUUUUUUGGCCAAAUUUCAACCAAUUUUUUAGAAACUGGUGGUAAACCCAGUUUUCAAUUGAGUUUCUGGGGAUUGUUUUAGAGAGAGGUUAGAGAGAAC
rnacentral:lncRNA from 1 species